rnacentral:rRNA from 1 species
GACGAACGCUGGCGGCGUGCUUAACACAUGCAAGUCGAACGGAAAGGCCCUGCUUUUGUGGGGUGCUCGAGUGGCGAACGGGUGAGUAACACGUGAGUAACCUGCCCUUGACUUUGGGAUAACUUCAGGAAACUGGGGCUAAUACCGGAUAGGAGCUCCUGCUGCAUGGUGGGGGUUGGAAAGUUUCGGCGGUUGGGGAUGGACUCGCGGCUUAUCAGCUUGUUGGUGGGGUAGUGGCUUACCAAGGCUUUGACGGGUAGCCGGCCUGAGAGGGUGACCGGCCACAUUGGGACUGAGAUACGGCCCAGACUCCUACGGGAGGCAGCAGUGGGGAAUAUUGCACAAUGGGCGGAAGCCUGAUGCAGCAGCGCCGCGUGCGGGAUGACGGCCUUCGGGUUGAAAACCGCUUUCGCCUGUGACGAAGCGUGAGUGACGGUAAUGGGUAAAGAAGCACCGGCUAACUACGUG